rnacentral:tRNA from 1 species
GCGCCCGUAGCUCAGUUGGAUAGAGUACCUGGCUUCGAACCAGGUGGUCGGGAGUUCGAGCCUCUCCGGGCGCGCCA